AUUGAACGCUGGCGGCAGGCCUAACACAUGCAAGUCGAACGGUAACAGGAAACAGCUUGCUGUUUCGCUGACGAGUGGCGGACGGGUGAGUAAUGUCUGGGAAACUGCCUGAUGGAGGGGGAUAACUACUGGAAACGGUAGCUACUACCGCAUAACGUCGCAAGACCAAAGAGGGGGACCCUCGGGCCUCUUGCCAUCGGAUGUGCCCAGGUGGGAUUAGCUUGUUGGUGGGGUAACGGCUCACCAAGGCGACGAUCCCUAGCUGGUCUGAGAGGAUGACCAGCCACACUGGAACUGAGACACGGUCCAGACUCCUACGGGAGGCAGCAGUGGGGAAUAUUGCACAAUGGGCGCAAGCCUGAUGCAGCCAUGCCGCGUGUAUGAAGAAGGCCUUCGGGUUGUAAAGUACUUUCAGCGGGGAGGAAGGGAGUAAAGUUAAUACCUUUGCUCAUUGACGUUACCCGCAGAAGAAGCACCGGCUAACUCCGUG
rnacentral:rRNA from 1 species